rnacentral:rRNA from 1 species
GAUGAACGCUGGCGGCGUGCUUAAUACAUGCAAGUCGAACGGGGUUAGGUUGGUAGUAAUACUGAUCAGACUUAGUGGCGAACGGGCGAGUAACGAGUUGGCGACCUGCCCCGAAGAGAGGGAUAACAUGCCGAAAGGGAUGCUAAUACCUCAUAAUAUCCCGAUAGUUAGAGAAUUGGGAAGAAAGUGGAGACACGCUUUGGGAGGGGCCUGCUUCCCAUCAGCUAGUUGGAGUGGUAACGGCCCACCAAGGCGACGAUCCGUAGCGGGUCUGAGAGGAUGAUCCGCCACACUGGGACUGAGACACGGCCCAGACUCCUACGGGAGGCAGCAGUGGGGAAUUUUGGACAAUGGGGGGCAACCCUGAUCCAGCCAUGCCGCGUGCGGGAAGAAGGCCUCGGUUGUAACCG